rnacentral:misc_RNA from 1 species
UCUCACCUUACGGUGGCAGUUUCGCUAGAGUCCCCUGCUUUACCAGAUGGCAACUAACGAUAAGGGUUGCGCUCGUUAUGGGACUUAACCCGACACCUCACGGCACGAGCUGACGACAACCAUGCAGCACCUUGCAGAAAGCCCCGAAGGGAAUUCCUAUCUCUAGAAAAUGCACUCUACAUUUAAGCCCAGGUAAGGUUCCUCGCGUAUCAUCGAAUUAAACCACAUGUUCCUCCGCUUGUGCGGGCCCCCGUCAAUUCCUUUGAGUUUCAACCUUGCGGCCGUACUCCCCAGGUGGAUUACUUAUUGCUUUUGCUUAGCCGCUGACAGUGUAUCGCCAACAGCGAGUAAUCAUCGUUUACGGCGUGGACUAC